UCAAGCGGGACAGAUGGGAGCUUGCUCCCUGAUGUUAGCGGCGGACGGGUGAGUAACACGUGGGUAACCUGCCUGUAAGACUGGGAUAACUCCGGGAAACCGGGGCUAAUACCGGAUGGUUGUCUGAACCGCAUGGUUCAGACAUAAAAGGUGGCUUCGGCUACCACUUACAGAUGGACCCGCGGCGCAUUAGCUAGUUGGUGAGGUAACGGCUCACCAAGGCGACGAUGCGUAGCCGACCUGAGAGGGUGAUCGGCCACACUGGGACUGAGACACGGCCCAGACUCCUACGGGAGGCAGCAGUAGGGAAUCUUCCGCAAUGGACGAAAGUCUGACGGAGCAACGCCGCGUGAGUGAUGAAGGUUUUCGGAUCGUAAAGCUCUGUUGUUAGGGAAGAACAAGUGCCGUUCAAAUAGGGCGGCACCUUGACGGUACCUAACCAGAAAGCCACGGCUAACUACGUGCCAGCAGCCGCGGUAAUACGUAGGUGGCAAGCGUUGUCCGGAAUUAUUGGGCGUAAAGGGCUCGCAGGCGGUUUCUUAAGUCUGAUGUGAAAGCCCCCGGCUCAACCGGGGAGGGUCAUUGGAAACUGGGGAACUUGAGUGCAGAAGAGGAGAGUGGAAUUCCACGUGUAGCGGUGAAAUGCGUAGAGAUGUGGAGGAACACCAGUGGCGAAGGCGACUCUCUGGUCUGUAACUGACGCUGAGGAGCGAAAGCGUGGGGAGCGAACAGGAUUAGAUACCCUGGUAGUCCACGCCGUAAACGAUGAGUGCUAAGUGUUAGGGGGGUUUCCGCCCCUUAGUGCUGCAGCUAACGCAUUAAGCACUCCGCCUGGGGAGUACGGUCGCAAGACUGAAACUCAAAGGAAUUGACGGGGGCCCGCACAAGCGGUGGAGCAUGUGGUUUAAUUCGAAGCAACGCGAACAACCUUACCAGGUCUUGACUUCCUCUGACAAUCCUAAAAAUAGGGACUUCCCUUUCGGGGGCAGAAGGGCCGG
rnacentral:rRNA from 1 species